rnacentral:rRNA from 1 species
CGCGGUUAUACCAAGUGAUUAAGUUAUAUUUUUAGGUAAAAAGACAGUUAGGUUUUAUUUUAUAAAGUAACUUUAGUUUAUUAAACAUCUAUAAAAAAGUAAAAUUUGUAUAUAGGUAGCUAAUCUAAAAAUAACUAAAUAAUACUGAAGCUGUGAUAAUCUUGAGGGAAACUGGGAUUAGAUACCCCAUUAUUCUUGAUUGUAAAUAUAAUUAAAUUUACCAGAGUACUAUGAAUAGUUAAAAAUUUAAAACUCAAAGGGCUUGGCGGUGUUUUAGACCUAUCAGGGGAACCUGUCUCGUAAUCGACAAUCCGCGUAAUAUCUAACCUUAUUUUGUAAUCAGUUUGUAUACCGUCGUCGUCAGGUAACUUUUAAAAAUAUAGAAGUUAGCACUCAAAAUUUUUUAAAUUAAGACGUCAGAUCAAGGUGCAGCCUAUAAUAAGGAGAGGAUGGGUUACAGUUAUAAAAAUCAUAAUUACGGAAAUUUAAAUGGAACUUAUUUUGAAGGAGGACUUGAAAGUAAACUGAAAUACAUAAAUAGUUUGAAUAAGGCUCUG